UACGGGGGGUGCGAGCGUUGUCCGGAUUCACUGGGCGUAAAGGGCGCGUAGGCGGCUGGCUCAGUCGGGCCUGUAAGUGCGGGGCUCAACCCCGUGAUGGGCUCGGGACGGGCUGGCUGGGGCGCGGUCGAGGGAGACGGAAUGCCGGGUGUAGUGGUGAAAUGCGCAGAUAUCAGGAGGAACACCGAUGGCGAAGGCAGGUCUCUGGGCCACUACUGACGCUGAGAAGCGAAAGCAUGGGGAGCGAACAGG
rnacentral:rRNA from 1 species